GCUGCACAUGCUCAGUACAAUCCUGAGAGAGCUAUCCACACCCUGAUUCACACAAGAUACAAGAUUUCCUGUAAGAGUUGAGAAUAUUUCUGAAUCUGCUCACAGGUUCGAGCGGAUCACUUCAACCUACCAUGGAGUUUGUGAACAGCAAAGAAGGAUGUAAAUGCCAAAAGGAUUGCAGUAAAUGCCAAUGUCAUUGUCAUACAAUAAUUAUCAGUCCUAAACCUAAACAAGUGAUUGUGGAGGAGAAGACAUCUGAGGCGCCUGAAAUGCCUUUGAAAGAGCGUGCCCCCUGUUAUUGCUUCCCUUGUGAUUUCGGCUCCUGUGAUUGUGGCCCCAGUGAUUCUGGUCCUGGUGAUUCUGGUUCAUGUGACUGUGGCUCCUGUGAUUGUGGAUCCUGUGAUUGUGGCUCCUGUGAUUGUGGAUCCUGUGAUUGUGGCUCCUGUGAUUGUCAGUGUAUGUUCUGACAGCGCAAGCUACAUGACUCUUACAAAAUGCAUGGAUUCGCUACAUAAGACCUUUAUUAACCCCCUGGAGCCUUGUGAGGCACUUUUUAUUAUGGAUGGAUGCACUUUAUUGGACUUCUUUUGGACUGUUGAACAGAAACUCCCGCCCACUGCCAUUAUAAAGCUUGGAAGGGUCAGGAAAUUUUUUAAUAUAACUCUGAUUGGAUUUGUCUGAAAGAAGAAAGUAAUAUACACCUAGGAUGGCAUGAGGAUCAGUGCUGGCCAGUGCAGCAGUCAAACACAUGAUCAGUGUGUCUGAGAGAGAUGAUCUGGAGCUGAUGUUAGAUACACACAUGUGUUCCCAGCAGGCCCUGGACUGGAUGAACUGCACACAUUUCCUGAAAAACCCUGGGAGGAGUGCCUCUAAUUUCCACUCUCUAUUUCACAUGUUACUGAAUCUUUCAAUAGUAAGGGAGUCAGUAUACUUAUUGUAUUUUGGUGAAAAUGAAUACUUAUCUACUACUGAGUAAGCAGAUGUAUCUUAAAAAAUAUGAUGAAGUAUCUAUUCUUAACACUGGAAGACUCAAGACUGUGCUGCUGAAGCUGAGAAGACUGGAUGGACGAGCAGCUCAGUGUUCAUUAUCUACUGAAUCUUAUCUACUCGCACAUUUACUGUAGUAAGUCUAGUCACUGAUAUACUUUAAUGGGCAAGGCUAAGAUUGGUCCAUUUAGAUGGAAAUAGGAAGAGAUCUGCUAACCGACACACCUUUAGCUCCGUGUGGAAAGAUGUAAUCUGUAUUUUAACUUUUUCAUCCUUCAUCCAUUUUGUAACCAAUCCAAGUGUAACCAUAACAAAAUGUUUUUAUUAAAGCAUUACUCACUACUAACUAGUCUUGAUUCAUCAUUAACAUUGAAGUGCUGUCGGCAAUAAUACAUUAUAGUGACUCAAUAGCUACACUCUCCCACAGAUACAGAGUUUGCUGUUCAUCCUCCCUUAUGUUUCUUAUUAAUCGUGUAUCUGAUCAAUAAAGUG